rnacentral:lncRNA from 1 species
CUGCAGACUUACAAUGACCAUUAUUAUGUGGGUUCCACAGACUUGUGACCUCUGCUUGAGCAUUAAACACGUACAAACAGAUUGUUCCAGCGUCUAAAAACAAAUGCAUUCUUGUGUGCGCACGUGUAUGGCUGUGCCUGUGUGUGUGUGCAUGUGUAUGGCCGUGCCUGUGUGUGUGUGCAUGUGUAUGGCCGUGCCUGUGUGUGUGUGUGCAUGUGUAUGGCCGUUCUUGUGUGUGUGUGCAUGUGUAUGGCCAUUCUUGUGUGUGUGUGCAUGUGUAUGGCCGUGCCUGUGUGUGUGCGUGCAUGUGUAUGGCCGUGCCUGUGUGUGCGUGCAUGUGUAUGGCCGUGCCUGUGUGUGUGCAUGUGUAUGGCCGUGCCUGUGUGUGCGUGCAUGUGUAUGGCCGUGCUUGUGUGUGCGUGCAUGUGUAUGGCCGUUGUGUGUGCGUGUAUGUGUAUGGCCGUGCCUGUGUGUGUGCAUGCACGUGUAUGGCCGUUGUUGUGUGUGCAUGCAUGUGUAUGGCCGUGCCUGUGUGCAUGCAUGUGUAUGGCCGUGCCUGUGUGUGUGCGUGCAUGUGUAUGGCCGUGCCUGUGUGCAUGCACGUGUAUGGCCGUUGUGUGUGCAUGCAUGUGUAUGGCCAUGCCUGUGUGUGUGCGUGCAUGUGUAUGGCCGUGCCUGUGUGCGCGUGCAUGUGUAUGGCCGUGCCUGUGUGUGUGCGUGCAUGUGUAUGGCCGUGCCUGUGUGUGUGCGUGCAUGUGUAUGGCCGUGCCUGUGUGUGCGUGCAUGUGUAUGGCCGUGCCUGUGUGUGCGCGUGCAUGUGUAUGGCCGUGCCUGUGUGUGUGCGUGCAUGUGUAUGGCCAUGCCUGUGUGUGUGCGCAUGUGUAUGGCCGUGCCUGUGUGCAUGCAUGUGUAUGGCCGUUCUUGUGUGUGCAUGCAUGUGUAUGGCUGUGCCUGUGUGUGUGUGCAUGUGUAUGGCCGUGCCUGUGUGUGCAUGCACGUGUAUGGCCGUUGUGUGUGCAUGCAUGUGUAUGGCCGUGCCUGUGUGCAUGCAUGUGUAUGGCCGUUCUUGUGUGUGCAUGCAUGUGUAUGGCCAUGCCUGUGUGUGUGCAUGCAUGUGUAUGGCCGUUCUUGUGUGUGCAUGCAUGUGUAUGGCCGUGCCUGUGUGUGUGCUCCCCGCCCCCCGCCCGGAUCCCCAAUAUAGCAAGAAGCAAAGCAAGCCUGCAUCCGUAU